UACUGAUGAUGACGAUGAUGACGAUGAUGGUGAUGAUCAUGAUCAUGAUCAUGGUGGUGAUCAUCAUCACCACCACCACCGUCAUCAUCAGUGAUG
rnacentral:pre_miRNA from 1 species